GUGUUAUUUGUUGAGACAGUUUACUGAUGAUAUUGUGAGGUUGUGCCCUAAAUUCCAACUCUUUUGCUUUGUCUCGAUGAGAUUUGGGGUAGUCAGGUUGCAGCCUGCUUUCUGUAUCGUUUCUGAAAACCAGUGCGGCAACAGCAAAGCAGAUUUUUUUUUUUUUUUUUUGUCCAGCAACUGCUAUUUUCAUUCAGUGAUGGCUGCUUUAGGUCAUGCUGGUGUGCUCUUCGGGACUGGUCUUGUGUUAGUUUUUUUUUGUGACUUUGAGCAUAUCGGUAUACUGCAUGUAAUCUACUGUGCGUCUGAAAUUUCUUUUUGAGAACAGCAACAAUAGAGUCGCACCGAUCUGCAGGGCUUCUGUACAAAGUUUUUUGAUAUAUCACUUUCAAUCUAUUGUAAAACAAUCAUUAAUGCCUAAAUAGUGAUCGGUCGUUGGUAGCUUUAUUUGAUUGCCUUGCACUUAAACAGCAGUCUGUUUGUCAUCCUUCUUUUCAGCACCAUAUUUCUUUCAUCACUUCAGUGAGCAGUAGCAGGAUAAAAGGUUCAGUCUCAGUCUCAGGUGCUCUAAAUUGUUUUGCUGUUUCAGCAGCUGUAGACCUUUUCUCUGCUCCAAACUGCGGUGAAACUAGGAGGUGUUUUUCAGCUGUGUGGCAUGAUCGUUUUUUCAUGCAUCUGUGCUAUGUGUUUUCUUGGAUCACUUCCGAAAUGAUUCGAGAUAAUCGUAAUCGUUCCUAGGGUCGAUAUGCCACAAGUUGGUGUGUGUGAUCUUGACAAUUACAAGUGAGAUGAGACAUGUGUUGUUUGGGAUAUAGGCCAAGAUCUUGCUGAUAAUUUUAAUUGGCUCUCAUUCUCCCUCUCCUGGUACUGCUGAAGGCUCCUCCCUCCCAACAGCUAACAUGCAUAGUACAAAGGUAUUUUAUUUAAAAAAAACAGUGACAUUGAAGGAGCAAAUAAUGUUAUCUUCCUACGGAACUCUGAUCUGCACUUUUUUCA
rnacentral:lncRNA from 7 species